GGCAGAAAGGUACGUGCGUCAGGCUCAUAACCUGAAGGUCGCUGGUUCAAAUCCAGCCCUCA
rnacentral:tRNA from 1 species